UGGUGGAGUGAUUUGUCUGGUUAAUUCCGUUAAUGAACGAGACCACUGCCUGCUAAAUAACCCAGUGAGUGAAUCUUCACUGACUGCUGGCUUCUUAGAGGGACGUGCAUUCUAUCGGAUGCAGGAGGAUAGUGGCAAUAACA
rnacentral:rRNA from 1 species